UUGGACCUGAUAUCAGGCAAAGA
rnacentral:rRNA from 1 species